CUGGUUGAUCCUGCCAGUAGUCAUAUGCUUGUCUCAAAGACUAAGCCAUGCAUGUCUAAGUAUAAAUGUUAUACAGUGAAACUGCGAAUGGCUCAUUAAAACAGUUAUAGUUUAUUUGAUAAUCGAAUUUACAUGGAUAACCGUGGUAAUUCUAGAGCUAAUACAUGCUGGUUAGCCUGACUUUUAGGAAGGGCUGUAUUUAUUAGAUAACAAACCAAUAUUCCUCGUGUCUAUUGUGAUGACUCAUAAUAACUGAUCGAAUCGCAUGGGCCUUGCCCGCGAUACAUCAUUCAAGUUUCUGCCCCAUCAGCUUUCGAUGGUAGUGUAUUGGACUACCAUGGCUUUAACGGGUAACGGAGGAUUAGGGUUCGAUUCCGGAGAGGGAGCCUGAGAAACGGCUACCACAUCUAAGGAAGGCAGCAGGCGCGUAAAUUACCCAAUCCUGACUCAGGGAGGUAGUGACAAGAAAUAACGGACCGAGGCUUUUGCUUCGGGAUUGCAAUGAGUAGAAUUUAAACCCCUUUACGAGGAUCAAUUGGAGGGCAAGUCUGGU
rnacentral:rRNA from 1 species